CCUACGGGUGGCAGCAGUAGGGAAUCUUCCACAAUGGGCGAAAGCCUGAUGGAGCCACGCAGCGUGGAUGAAGACGGUCUUCGGAGCGUAAAACCCUGUUGUUAGAGAAGAAAGUGCGUGAGAGUGACUGUUCACGUUUCGACGGUAUCUAACCAGAAAGCCACGGCUAACUACGUGCCAGCAGCCGCGGUAAUACGUAGGUUGCAAGCGUUAUCCGGAUUUAUUGGGCGUAAGGGGAACGCAGGCGGUCUUUUAAGUCUGAUGUGAAAGUCUUCGGCUGAACCGUAGUAGUGCAUUGGAAACUGGGAGACUUGAGUGCAGAAGAGGAGAGUGGAACUCAAGGUGUAGCGGUGAAAUGCUUAGAUAUAUGGAAGAACUCCAGUGGCGAAAGCGGCUCUCUGGGCUGUAACUGACGCUGAGGUUCGAAAGUGUGGGUAGCAAACAGGAUUAGAUACCCGAGUAGUC
rnacentral:rRNA from 1 species